GGCGCACGGGUGCGUAACACGUAUAUAAUCUGCCCUUAUCUGGAGGAUAGCCCGGAGAAAUUCGGAUUAAUACUCCAUAACAUUAUGAUGUGGCAUCACAUUAUAAUUAAAGCUCAGGCGGAUAAGGAUGAAUAUGCGACUGAUUAGUUAGUUGGUGAGGUAACGGCUCACCAAGACUACGAUCAGUAGGGGUACUGAGAGGUUAAACCCCCACACUGGUACUGAGACACGGACCAGACUCCUACGGGAGGCAGCAGUAAGGAAUAUUGGACAAUGGAGGCAACUCUGAUCCAGCCAUGCCGCGUGCAGGAAGAAGGCGCUACGCGUCGUAAACUGCUUCCGUACCAGAGAAAACCUAUGUACGUGUACGUCAGUCGACUAGUCAUGGCUAAGACCUAAUGCAUCCGGCUACACUUCGUGCCAGCCAGCCGCGGUCACUACGAAGGAUGCAAGC
rnacentral:rRNA from 1 species